GACGAACCGUGCGAACGUUAUUCGGAAUCAUUGGGCUUAAAGCGCACGCAGGCGGCGGCACAAGUGGGAUGGGAAAGGCCACCGGCUCAACCGUGGCAGAGCGUCCCAGACUGUGUCGCUUGAGGGGGGUAGGGGCCGGCGGAACUUCCGGUGGAGCGGUGAAAUGUGUUGAGAUCGGAAGGAACGCCAGUGGCGAAAGCGGCCGGCUGGAUCCCAUCUGACGCUCAGGUGCGAAAGCCAGGGGAGCAAACGGG
rnacentral:rRNA from 2 species